UAUUGAACAACGCAAAAUAAACAUUCAUGUUCUCGUGAAAACAAAAUCCGUUGAGAGGUUCGCUUCGGCUGAACCCAGGACCAUCGGGUUACCGGGAUCGAAAUGGAGAAGGAAUCGAACAAUCUUGGGUGCGAUGCCUCUCUGCCUACGGGCAGGUGAGAGGGAGCGCAAUGAUUGAGCGUACAU
rnacentral:sRNA from 1 species